rnacentral:tRNA from 1 species
GCCCUCGUAGUUCAAUGGAUAGAACAAGGGACUCCUAAGCCUUAGAUGGUGGUUCGAUUCCUCCCGAGGGCA